AGGCUGUUCGGUUCCUGGCUGAGCCCUGCGGGUCAAGGUCUGGGCUGGUUUGCCUGUCAGCGGUUCUACAACGUGUGCCCAAGACUGACGUUGUCCGUAUGAAAAUAGUGUGAGGAUAUUAGUGUGGUGAAAGCUCUCAGAUUUCAUGGAGCUUAAUGGUCUAGGAACUGCAUUUGCCCUACAAAAUUGAUCUACGUCCAAAGGGGUUCAGACAGAUCUUAUUCUGACAAGUUUUAGAUGGAACUCAUGAAGAGUCCAUCUCACUGAAAUCACUUAUGCAGAGAAAUGCCUCAAAGGAUUCAAUUUACGAGAUGGGAAGAAAAACUGACUGCAAAAAUGAGAUGCUUUUGAAUAGAGCAUGAAAUGCUGCCUCUUCUCAGGUGGAGGGUGGCAAACUACCAUCCGUGAUGCGCAUGUGACUAGACUCUUGCAAAAUGGCAUUGCAGAAAAAUGAGGAACACAAUUAGUGCUGCUCUUAUGAAGUAAGUUUGGGUGUGCCUACAUCUGUGGUAUGGAAAUGCCCUCAAAGCCUCAUAAACUACCAGAAAUUAGCUUGUGCCUUUCAACUGAAACGCUCCUGUCAGAAAGGCCUUGUUUUGGACCGUGUAAGAAUGUGUACCUGUUCACAAAUUCGUGGAUAGAUACAUAAGCUGUAGAACAGGAACAACCAUUACACAGAUGGGGACUCACAGUGCAGAAUAUGCAGGAGAAAAGAGAAAAUGGUAGGCACUAGAUAUCCAGGGAGGCAAAAAGAGUGGCACAGGAUAACUAGGAUGAUCCUGAGGACAGAAGCUUGGGAAUUAAGCCAGAAAAGAAGGAGCACGAUUAUGUGUGGCUAUAAUGGCUUCUUGGCAGGAAUCUUGAAAGCACUGCCAUCUUCAUUGGACUGAGAAGAAGCUGAAGCACAAAUAAAUCAUUUAAAUGAUGAAGAUCUAAGUUUAUAACGGAUUGUAACCAGAGGUGCCCAGGGGUAGCAUGUGGUGAGUAUGGCCAGUCUGAGGCCACUGCUCAGAUGGUCACUGCGCCUCCACCUGCUCAUAUGACUGAACACAAAACAGUUUGAGGAAUCCCAUUUUCUCCUUUCACUUCUUCAGCAUUAAGAGCAAAUGGAACCAUCAUAACCUCUAAAGUUGAACCAAUUGGAGGAUGGUGUCUCAUUGCUUCAUAUUUCACACUGGACACAUCAUGUCAGUCUUAACUAACAUUUGCAUAUGGAUUUGUCUUUUCACUGUUCUAUGUGUGUGAUCUCUGAUCUCAAUACUUUCAGAAGUCUGUACUUCUCUGAAAAACAAAGCAAAAGCAAUGGUGUGCAAUAUCUUAAGCCUACUUCUUUGAAAAAGGAAUGUAUUUCCAACAGGAAAAACUAAACAUCAGUGUGUCAUUCUUCAGUAUAAAGUUUUCCUUCUGCCCUACUUCAAGAUCCUUCUAGUUAGUUCUGAAGCCCUGUAAAGGAAAGGUACUACCUCUUUUCAGGACAGUUGAAACUUCAAGCUUAGUUAUCGCAAAAUAAUCCCAGAUAGUUUUUCCACUAAGAAUAAAACUUAAUACUGUGUUCUUUCAUAGCAACGUACUGACAAACUUAUUUAAAGAUGGCAAAAAAUUUCAAGGCAUAUGGUUAGAAAGCCCCAGGGCGCCUAUUCAGCAGGAUAUUUAAACACUUGCCUACUUCAAAAUAGGUGAGUGGUCCUGCUGAAGUCAAUAGCGCUACUUCUGUGCUUAAAGUCAGGCAUACACUUUAAUAUCUUGCUAAACUGAAGCCUCGGGUCCACUUAUUUUAAUCUUGCAAAAUGCUUCUUCACAUUCUGGGUAAGAGCAUUCAGAAUGAAGUGUCUUUUGUUAAAAAUAGAUCUGU
rnacentral:lncRNA from 7 species